AUUGAACGCUGGCGGCAGGCCUAACACAUGCAAGUCGAGCGGAGCGGCGGACGGGUGAGUAAUGCCUAGGUAUCUGCCUGGUCGUGGGGGAUAACGUACUGAAACGGGCGCUAAUACCUACUACUAUCAGAUGAGUCUAGGUCGGAUUCGCUAGUUGGUGGGGUAAGUGCUUACAAAGGCGACGAUCCGUAACUGGUCUGAGAGGAUGAUCAGUCACACUGGAACUGAGACACGGUCCAGACUCCGACGGGAGGCAGCAGUGGGGAAUAUUGGACAAUGGGCGAAAGCCUGAUCCAGCCAGGCCGCGUGUGUGAAGAAGGUCUUAGGAUUGUAAAGCACGUUAAGUUGGGAGGCGUUACCAACAGAAUAAGCACCGGCUAACUUCGUGCCAGCAGCCGCGGUAAUAC
rnacentral:rRNA from 1 species